UACAGAGGGUGCAAGCGUUAAUCGGAAUUACUGGGCGUAAAGCGCACGUAGGCGGGUUGUUAAGUCAGGGGUGAAAUCCUGGAGCUCAACUCCAGAACUGCCUUUGAUACUGGCAACCUAGAGGCUGGAAGAGGUUAGUGGAAUUCCCAGUGUAGAGGUGAAAUUCGUAGAUAUUGGGAAGAACACCAGUGGCGAAGGCGGCUAACUGGUCCAGAUCUGACGCUGAGGUGCGAAAGCGUGGGGAGCAAACAGG
rnacentral:rRNA from 1 species